GUGCUUAAUUGGCAGUGAGAGACCAAGAUCUUGAAAGGUGGUUUCCCCAGGACAAGGCUAAUCCUUGAGUUCCAGACAUGCUGACCUCUGUAAUGUUCCAAAUGAUAGAAAUGUUUAACUGCAUAAUUUGCGUAGUGAAGACUGUGUUCAUGUCUGCU
rnacentral:snRNA from 1 species